rnacentral:snoRNA from 1 species
UAGGAGGCCAAAAUUAGAACUUGAAACAGUGAUAGGACAAAAAUUGGAAUCAACUCAGCUUUCAGCCUCCUACAUUAAAAGGUAGAUAGAACAGGUCUUGUUUGCGAAAUAAAUUCGAGACCUACUGAUCUACCAACAGCA